GUUUUAAUUUUCCCGUUGGAAAUACUAGCCUUCAUUUUCACACACAUUUUAAUCUCUGUCCACGAGAAUUUGGUUAGAAUGACACAAGAAAGGUUCAAUUGAUAUAUACCACAGUCAUAACUGGAAAUGCAGAACCUAAAACAUCAGAAAUGACCUACGUUAAAAACCAGUGAUGGCAUAUAAAACUUUCAACAUCAAAUAUAAGAUGUUAUAAUAUGUACCUUCCAUCAUUCCACAGGGCAAUAUCAGUAAGAGGUCCUGCGACUAAAUUUUCUUCCACUAAGCAUUCUAUGGAUAUAUUACAAUAGUCCAAAUAAACAUAUCAUUAUCAAAAAGUUUUACUAAAGUUGCAACUGUUUGUUUUUUCAGUAAUGGACAAGGUUGCAUAAUUAGACAAUCUCUAGUUCAGGGGGGAGGGAUAUUUUCAUAAACAAAGUUCUUUGAAAAAAUAAAUUUGGCAACAUACUCUGA